AAUCAGUGUGUGUGUUAGUGGAAGCGUCUGGAAAGGCGCGUGAUACAGGGUGACAGCCCCGUACACAAAAAUGCACAUGCUGUGAGCUCGAUGAGUAGGGCGGGACACGUGGUAUCCUGUCUGAAUAUGGGGGGACCAUCCUCCAAGGCUAAAUACUCCUGACUGACCGAUAGUGAACCAGUACCGUGAGGGAAAGGCGAAAAGAACCCCGGCGAGGGGAGUGAAAAAGAACCUGAAACCGUGUACGUACAAGCAGUGGGAGCACGCUUAGGCGUGUGACUGCGUACCUUUUGUAUAAUGGGUCAGCGACUUAUAUUCUGUAGCAAGGUUAACCGAAUAGGGGAGCCGAAGGGAAACCGAGUCUUAACUGGGCGUUAAGUUGCAGGGUAUAGACCCGAAACCCGGUGAUCUAGCCAUGGGCAGGUUGAAGGUUGGGUAACACUAACUGGAGGACCGAACCGACUAAUGUUGAAAAAUUAGCGGAUGACUUGUGGCUGGGGGUGAAAGGCCAAUCAAACCGGGAGAUAGCUGGUUCUCCCCGAAAGCUAUUUAGGUAGCGCCUCGUGAAUUCAUCUCCGGGGGUAGAGCACUGUUUCGGCAAGGGGGUCAUCCCGACUUACCAACCCGAUGCAAACUGCGAAUACCGGAGAAUGUUAUCACGGGAGACACACGGCGGGUGCUAACGUCCGUCGUGAAGAGGGAAACAACCCAGACCGCCAGCUAAGGUCCCAAAGUCAUGGUUAAGUGGGAAACGAUGUGGGAAGGCCCAGACAGCCAGGAUGUUGGCUUAGAAGCAGCCAUCAUUUAAAGAAAGCGUAAUAGCUCACUGGUCGAGUCGGCCUGCGCGGAAGAUGUAACGGGGCUAAACCAUGCACCGAAGCUGCGGCAGCGACGCUUAUGCGUUGUUGGGUAGGGGAGCGUUCUGUAAGCCUGUGAAGGUGUACUGUGAGGUAUGCUGGAGGUAUCAGAAGUGCGAAUGCUGACAUAAGUAACGAUAAAGCGGGUGAAAAGCCCGCUCGCCGGAAGACCAAGGGUUCCUGUCCAACGUUAAUCGGGGCAGGGUGAGUCGACCCCUAAGGCGAGGCCGAAAGGCGUAGUCGAUGGGAAACAGGUUAAUAUUCCUGUACUUGGUGUUACUGCGAAGGGGGGACGGAGAAGGCUAUGUUGGCCGGGCGACGGUUGUCCCGGUUUAAGCGUGUAGGCUGGUUUUCCAGGCAAAUCCGGAAAAUCAAGGCUGAGGCGUGAUGACGAGGCACUACGGUGCUGAAGCAACAAAUGCCCUGCUUCCAGGAAAAGCCUCUAAGCAUCAGGUAACAUCAAAUCGUACCCCAAACCGACACAGGUGGUCAGGUAGAGAAUACCAAGGCGCUUGAGAGAACUCGGGUGAAGGAACUAGGCAAAAUGGUGCCGUAACUUCGGGAGAAGGCACGCUGAUAUGUAGGUGAAGUCCCUCGCGGAUGGAGCUGAAAUCAGUCGAAGAUACCAGCUGGCUGCAACUGUUUAUUAAAAACACAGCACUGUGCAAACACGAAAGUGGACGUAUACGGUGUGACGCCUGCCCGGUGCCGGAAGGUUAAUUGAUGGGGUUAGCGCAAGCGAAGCUCUUGAUCGAAGCCCCGGUAAACGGCGGCCGUAACUAUAACGGUCCUAAGGUAGCGAAAUUCCUUGUCGGGUAAGUUCCGACCUGCACGAAUGGCGUAAUGAUGGCCAGGCUGUCUCCACCCGAGACUCAGUGAAAUUGAACUCGCUGUGAAGAUGCAGUGUACCCGCGGCAAGACGGAAAGACCCCGUGAACCUUUACUAUAGCUUGACACUGAACAUUGAGCCUUGAUGUGUAGGAUAGGUGGGAGGCUUUGAAGUGUGGACGCCAGUCUGCAUGGAGCCGACCUUGAAAUACCACCCUUUAAUGUUUGAUGUUCUAACGUGGACCCGUAAUCCGGGUUGCGGACAGUGUCUGGUGGGUAGUUUGACUGGGGCGGUCUCCUCCUAAAGAGUAACGGAGGAGCACGAAGGUUGGCUAAUCCUGGUCGGACAUCAGGAGGUUAGUGCAAUGGCAUAAGCCAGCUUGACUGCGAGCGUGACGGCGCGAGCAGGUGCGAAAGCAGGUCAUAGUGAUCCGGUGGUUCUGAAUGGAAGGGCCAUCGCUCAACGGAUAAAAGGUACUCCGGGGAUAACAGGCUGAUACCGCCCAAGAGUUCAUAUCGACGGCGGUGUUUGGCACCUCGAUGUCGGCUCAUCACAUCCUGGGGCUGAAGUAGGUCCCAAGGGUAUGGCUGUUCGCCAUUUAAAGUGGUACGCGAGCUGGGUUUAGAACGUCGUGAGACAGUUCGGUCCCUA
rnacentral:rRNA from 1 species